rnacentral:rRNA from 1 species
CCCUUAGAUGUUCUGGGCUGCACGCGCGCUACACUGACAUGUCCAGCGAGCUCCCAACCUGCUCGGCAAAGAAUGGGUACCCUUUUUAACGCAUGUCGUGAUGGGGAUAGAUUAUUGCAAUUGUUGAUCUUGAACGAGGAAUUCCUAGUAAGUGCAAGUCAUUAGCUUGUGCUGAAUACGUCCCUGCCCUUUGUACACACCGCCCGUCGCUCCUACCGAUUGAUUGAUCCGGUGAAUUACAUAGAAUUUUGCGUUUUACAUGACGGAAGACGAAGUGUUUUAAACCUUAUCAUUUAGAGGAAGGAGAAGUCGUAACA